UACGUAGGCAGCGAGCGUUGUUCGGAGUUACUGGGCGUAAAGGGUGUGUAGGCGGUUACUUAAGUUUGGUGUGAAAUCUCCCGGCUCAACUGGGAGGGUGCGCCGAAUACUGAGUGACUAGAGUGCGGGAGAGGAGAGUGGAAUUCCUGGUGUAACGGUGAAAUGCGUAGAUAUCAGGAGGAACACCGGUGGUGUAGACGGCUCUCUGGACCGUAACUGACGCUGAGACACGAAAGCGUGGGUAGCAAACAGG
rnacentral:rRNA from 1 species